rnacentral:rRNA from 1 species
AUGCACGCUGGCGGCGUGCCUAAUACCUGCCAGUCGAGCGAACGGACGAGAAGCUUGCUUCUCUGAUGUUAGCGGCGGACGGGUGAGUAACACGUGGAUAACCUACCUAUAAGACUGGGAUAAUUUCGGGAAACCGGAGCUAAUACCGGAUAAUAUUUUGAACCGCAUGGUUCAAAAGUGAAAGACGGUCUUGCUGUCACUUAUAGAUGGAUCCGCGCUGCAUUAGCUAGUUGGUAAGGUAACGGCUUACCAAGGCAACGAUGCAUAGCCGACCUGAGAGGGUGAUCGGCCACACUGGAACUGAGACACGGUCCAGACUCCUACGGGAGGCAGCAGUAGGGAAUCUUCCGCAAUGGGCGAAAGCCUGACGGAGCAACGCCGCGUGAGUGAUGAAGGUCUUCGGAUCGUAAAACUCUGUUAUUAGGGAAGAACAUAUGUGUAAGUAACUGUGCACAUCUUGACGGUACCUAAUCAGAAAGCCACGGCUAACUACGUG